rnacentral:rRNA from 1 species
AGGGCAGAUGGUGGAUGCCUUGGGUGAUAGAGGCGAUGAAGGACGUACUAAGCUGCGAUAAGCUAUGGGGAGCUGCUAAGAAGCUUUGAUCCAUAGAUUUCCGAAUGGGGCAACCCAAUACAUAGAGAUAUGUAUUACCUUUAAUGGAGCGAACCUAGCGAAGUGAAACAUCUCAGUAGCUAGAGGAAAAGAAAUCGUAAUGAGAUUCUCCUAGUAGCGGCGAGCGAACGGGGAAGAGGGCAAACCAGUAGUUUGCUACUGGGGUUGAGGACUGCAAUAUCCACUUGAAUAAUGUAGCAGAAGUGUUUGGAAAAACACAUCACAGAGGGUGAUAGUCCCGUAUGCGAAAUAUUAUUCAUAGGUAGCAGGAUCCAGAGUAGGCCAGGACACGUGAAAUCCGGGCUGAAGCCGGGGAGACCACUCUCCAACCCUAAAUACUACUAUCACACCGAUAGCGAACAAGUACCGUGAGGGAAAGGUGAAAAGAACCGCAGUGAGCGGAGUGAAAUAGAACCUGAAACCAUCUGCCUACAAUCAUUCGGAGCCCUAUGAUUUAUCAGGGUGACGGACUGCCUUUUGCAUAAUGAUCCUGCGAGUUGUGGUAUCUGGCAAGGUUAAGCACACGCGAAGCCGUAGCGAAAGCGAGUCUUAAUAGGGCGUUUAGUCAGAUGCUGCAGACCCGAAGCCAAGUGAUCUAUCCAUGGCCAAGUUGAAGCGAGUGUAAUAGCUCGUGGAGGACUGAACUCGUACCCAUUGAAACGGGUUGGGAUGAGCUGUGGAUAGGGGUGAAAGGCCAAACAAACUUGGUGAUAGCUGGUUCUCUUCGAAAUAUAUUUAGGUAUAGCCUCAAGUGAUAGUAAUAGGGGGUAGAGCUCUGAUUGGGCUAGGGCUGCUCACCGCGGUACCAACCCCUGUCAAACUACGAAUACCUAUUGCCUUAUCUUGGGAGUCAGGCGGUGGGUGAUAAAAUCAAUCGUCAAAAGGGGAACAACCCAGACUACCAACUAAGGUCCCAAAGUUCUAUUCUAAGUGGAAAAUGAUGUGAAGUUACUCAGACAACCAGGAGGUUGGCUUAGAAGCAGCCAUCCUUUAAAGAAAGCGUAACAGCUCACUGGUCUAGUGAUUUUGCGCAGAAAAUAUAACGGGGCUAAGAUAGACACCGAAGUUGUAGAUUCUAUGCUGGUGCAUAGAGUGGUAGAAGAGCGUUCGUAUCAGCGUUGAAGGCAUACCGGUAAGGAGUGCUGGAGCGAUGCGAAGUGAGCAUGCAGGAAUGAGUAGCGAUAAAAGUGGUGAGAAUCCACUUCGCCGAAAGUCUAAGGUUUCCUACGCGAUGCUCGUCAUCGUAGGGUUAGUCGGGUCCUAAGACAAGUCAGAAAUGGGUAGUCGAUGGAAAAUGGGUUAAUAUUCCCAUACCAACAUUAGUGUGCGAUGGGGGGACGCAUAGGGCUAAGUAGCGUUAGCUGAUGGAAGUGCUAAUUUAAAAGCGUAGAUUGAGAGAUAGGUAAAUCCGCUCUUGUAUUCGAAACUUGAAUAGCUUGUUGCGAUCUUCGGAUCAAGAUGAGUGCUACUGACGCCGUCGUGCCAAGAAAAGCCUCUAAGUUUAGCUAAUGUUGCCCGUACCGCAAACCGACACAGGUAGAUGAGAUGAGUAUUCUAAGGCGCGUGAAAGAACUCUGGUUAAGGAACUCUGCAAACUAGCACCGUAAGUUCGCGAUAAGGUGUGCCACAGCAAUGUGGUCUCAGCAAAGAGUCCCUCCCGACUGUUUACCAAAAACACAGCACUUUGCAAACUCGUAAGAGGAAGUAUAAGGUGUGACGCCUGCCCGGUGCUCGAAGGUUAAGAGGAUUCGUUAGCAGUAAUGCGAAGCGUUGAAUUGAAGCCCGAGUAAACGGCGGCCGUAACUAUAACGGUCCUAAGGUAGCGAAAUUCCUUGUCGGUUAAAUACCGACCUGCAUGAAUGGCGUAACGAGAUGGGAGCUGUCUCAACCAGGGAUUCAGUGAAAUUGUAGUGGAGGUGAAAAUUCCUCCUACCCGCGGCAAGACGGAGAGACCCCGUGGACCUUUACUACAGCUUGGCACUGCCGAUGGGAGCAUUAUGCGCAGGAUAGGUGGGAGGCUUUGAAAUCUUCACUCUGGUGGAGAUGGAGCCAUCCUUGAGAUACCACCCUUAAUGUUUCUGUCUGCUAACUGGCUAGAGUUAUCCUCUAGCAGGACAAUGCCUGGUGGGUAGUUUGACUGGGGCGGUCGCCUCCUAAAAAGUAACGGAGGCUUGCAAAGGUUGGCUCAUUGCGGUUGGAAAUCGCAAGUAGAGUGUAAUGGCAUAAG